UCUCCGUAGGUGAACCUGCGGAGGGAUCAUUACAGAGUUCGUGCCCUCACGGGUAGAUCUCCCACCCUGUGUUAUUAUACCUUUGUUGCUUUGGCGGGCCGCCCUCGGCUACCGGCCCCGGCUGGUACGCGCCCGCCAGAGGACCCCAAACUCUGAAUGUUAGUGUCGUCUGAGUACUAUACAAUAGUUGAAACUUUCAACAACGGAUCUCUUGGUUCUG
rnacentral:misc_RNA from 1 species